AAUGAACUUUGUUUGCAGUGAAAAUCCUUUUUGAGGUUUUUUUGCCUCAAAAAGAUUGUAGCGUAAAGCCAGAUCCUUG
rnacentral:sRNA from 1 species